CCUACGAGGAGCAGCAGUGGGGAAUAUUGCACAAUGGGGGAAACCCUGAUGCAGCGACGCCGCGUGAAGGAAGAAGUAUUUCGGUAUGUAAACUUCUAUCAGCAGGGAAGAAAAUGACGGUACCUGACUAAGAAGCCCCGGCUGACUACGUGCCAGCAGCCGCGGUAAUACGUAGGGGGCAAGCGUUAUCCGGAUUUACUGGGUGUAAAGGGGGCGUAUGCGGUUUAGCAAGUCCGGAGUGAAAGCACGGGGCUCAACUCCGGGACUGCUUUUGAAACUGUUUAACUAGAUUGCAGGAGAGGUAAGCGGAAUUCCUGGUGUAGCGGUGAAAUGCGUAGAGAUUAGGAGGAACACCAGGGGCGAAGGCGGCUUACUGGACUGAAAAUGACGCUGAGGCUCGAAAGCGUGGGGAGCAAACAGGAUUAGAUACCCCUGUAGUC
rnacentral:rRNA from 1 species